GAUUUCUAAGUAAAGCAUUAGCAAUUUAGCAUUUGGAGAUGAGAGUGGUUCUGUCUUCUCAAGUAGGGUUCUGAAGUUCCACCAUGGAGAAGAUUGGAGCCGGGAGAUGAUGAUGAUCAUCAAGGCAGGAUUGGUGCCUUGCGUGAGUGUUGGUGAUGAUCAAUUAGCUCCGUGGUGGAGUGUACUUGUGAGGAGAUGAGGGGAUCGGAGUGUACCCUGGUGAUGUUGUUGGCACAGUACUAUGAUCGGACAGUGAAUUCAUCAAAUAAUCUUCUGUGCGAACUCCGCUACCUGUGCUUAUUAUGCUGUUCAGUUUAAUAUUUAAAAUUCAAGUUUUGUAUCCUCAACUAGCAAAAGACUUGAAAUACCCUUCCUUGGAAAGCCUUUAUAUUCAGCAUGUGGCAAAGAAGCCUAAGCUCUUGAAACAACUGCCUGAUGCGUCUUCAGAUGCAAUUACUCCAAUGACUGGGUCCAUGACUUUACCUGUUGCUUCUCAGAUGAGUAAUAUGUCUAAUUCAAAUAAGCUCAUCAAAAUAAUUGCUAAUCGGGAUCGUGGAAGAUAACAUAAAGCAACAAAGAUGACUACAGGACAAUCAGGGUCUAGAAAUCCAUGGGCAGCAUUUGAGGACCAGGCACUUGUUGUCCUUGUUCAUGAUUUGGGCCCAAAUUGGGAGCUAGUGAGCGAUGCUAUCAACAGCACUCUCCAAUUCUAGUUGUAUUACAUCUUCCGGAAACCUAAAGAGUGCAAGGAACUACGUAAAGCUCUAAUGGACAGAAGUGCUGGGGAUGGUGCUGAUAGUGCAGAAGAUUCCGGUUCUUCUCAGCCAUAUUACCUGGCAU